GAUAGCCCCAGACCAUACCCAAAUCAAUAUUGGGCUCAACAGUACGAACAGCUCCAAGUGAGGCAUCGUAAAUGCCGUGGACUCGAGCCCAUUCAACGAAGGCGAUGACACCCAGACCAAGGAAAAUCAGGUGAUGACCAAGGAUAAAAGUGAGCUUCUUGGGAUCAUCCCA
rnacentral:antisense_RNA from 1 species